rnacentral:rRNA from 1 species
AGCGAACGCUGGCGGCAGGCUUAACACAUGCAAGUCGAGCGGGCACUUUCGGGUGUCAGCGGCGGACGGGUGAGUAACGCGUGGGAACGUGCCCUCUGGUUCGGAAUAACUCAGGGAAACUUGAGCUAAUACCGGAUACGCCCUUUUGGGGAAAGGCUUGCUGCCGGAGGAUCGGCCCGCGUCUGAUUAGCUAGUUGGUGAGGUAACGGCUCACCAAGGCGACGAUCAGUAGCUGGUCUGAGAGGAUGAUCAGCCACACUGGGACUGAGACACGGCCCAGACUCCUACGGGAGGCAGCAGUGGGGAAUAUUGGACAAUGGGCGCAAGCCUGAUCCAGCCAUGCCGCGUGAGUGAUGAAGGCCUUAGGGUUGUAAAGCUCUUUUAUCCGGGACGAUAAUGACGGUACCGGAGGAAUAAGCCCCGGCUAACUUCGUA